rnacentral:rRNA from 1 species
AUUGAACGCUGGCGGCGUGCUUAACACAUGCAAGUCGAACGGUGAACGAGGGAGCUUGCUCCCUCCGGAUCAGUGGCGAACGGGUGAGUAACACGUGAGCAAUCUGCCCUGGACUCUGGGAUAAGCGUUGGAAACGACGUCUAAUACCGGAUACGAGACGCGAAGGCAUCUUCAGCGUCUGGAAAGAACUUCGGUCCAGGAUGAGCUCGCGGCCUAUCAGGUAGUUGGUGAGGUAACGGCUCACCAAGCCUACGACGGGUAGCCGGCCUGAGAGGGUGACCGGCCACACUGGGACUGAGACACGGCCCAGACUCCUACGGGAGGCAGCAGUGGGGAAUUUUGGACAAUGGGCGCAAGCCUGAUGCAGCAACGCCGCGUGAGGGACGACGGCCUUCGGGUUGUAAACCUCUUUUAGCAGGGAAGAAGCGAAAGUGACGGUACCUGCAGAAAAAGCACCGGCUAACUACGUGCCAGCAGCCGCGGUAAUAC